UGGGCGAGAGACCGAUAGCAAACAAGUACCGCGAGGGAAAGAUGAAAAGGACUUUGAAAAGAGAGUCAAAGAGUGCUUGAAAUUGUCGGGAGGGAAGCGAAUGGGGGCCGGCGAUGCGCCUCGGUCGGAUGUGGAACGGUGGAAGCCGGUCCGCCGAUCGACUCGGGGCGUGGAUCGGUGCGGAUUGGGACGGAGGCCAAAGCCCAGGAAGUCGUUAAGCCUGCGGAGACGCCUUCGCCCCGAUCGUGGCUGGCAGCGUGCGCCUCUUCGGCGUGCUUCGGCAUCUGCGCGCUCCCGG
rnacentral:rRNA from 1 species